rnacentral:rRNA from 1 species
CUCGAAGUUCCAGCCACUGAGUAUGGUUUCCCUGGAUUUGGGCCCCAGAGAGGGUGAAAAGGCCCCGUGCGAGUGGAGGUUCAGACAUKUGAGGCAAUUCACCAGGUCGACCUUCGAGUCGGGUUGUUUGGGAAUGCAGCCCCAAAGUGGGUGGUAAACUCCAUCCAAGGCUAAAUACAAGCACGAGUCCGAUAGCGAACAAGUACCGUGAGGGAAAGUUGAAAAGUACUUUGAAGAGAGAGUAAACAGUACGUGAAACCGCAUAGAGGUAAACGGGUGGCGUCAAGCUGCAAGCCUAGAGGAUUCAGUUGGUCGGUGUGUAUGCGCGCCUGGCGCGUCCGUCGGACAGAUAGUCCACUGCGAAAAGGUGGGCCUUGCCUUCUUUCGGGAGGGUGAGGAUCGGUGUCCCGGGAGGUUGCCGGAGCCGGCUGUUUUGUCUGAUUUGGAUGGAUCGGCCAAUGCACUUCCUCUAUUUGGUGAGCACCACGACUGGUGGAACUGCCAGUCUGCCGUAGUCAAGUCGAGUUUGGUGGAUGGCUCCUCUCGGGGGGUUGUCGGCUGAGCUUCGAUCAUCACAGGCGAAGUCAGUGAGCGGCGCGUGUAAGUCUCGGCUUGCACACGUGUUAUCGAGCACUGGUCGUGAACGGGUCUGUCUGUCGGUGGUGUAGUGACCGGCGGAUGUCCUGGUGGGCUACGGUGGUAUGAAUAACUGUGCAGGGCACCAGGGUUGUCGGUCUCUAGUUUCCGGCUCGUGCGCACACUGCAUGUGGGCGUGGGGUUGUCACUGUAGGCUGCCAAUUGCUGGGUCUGAUCGUCGUGUUGCCUGCGCAAAGUGGGUCCGGCGGUGGUCUAGUGUUGGAUGGUCUUGCAUGUGAUGCUUCCUGUGCGAGUCGGCGUGGACCAAACAGUCUGUGGUGUUGUGGUAGACGAGCUACCCGACCCGUCUUGAAACACGGACCAAGGAGUUUAUCAUGCACGCGAGUCAAUGGGUCCAUCGAAACCCAAAGGCGCAGUGAAAGUGAAGUCUCGACUUGUUCUCGAGAUGUGGUGAGAUGCCACUGUUUCUCGCACCUCGCCUAGCACUAGGCACAAGAGCAGUGGCCGCAUCACCGGCCCGUCCCAUGAUGUGGUCGUUGGAAAGGCGUGGAUUUCGGUCUGCGUUGGAGCCGGCGCGUCAUCGGG